CUUCCCACUUGUUGGGAAUUGGGAGUAUGAGGAUAAAGAAACUAACACUUAAACACUACUUACUAUAUGCCAAUCAUUUUGUGUGUUAUAUUUCAUUUAAUCCCAGAAUAAAUCCAUAAGAUAGAUAUUAUCAUUAUAUUUUUUAUACUAAUGAGGAAACUGAGGCCCAAAAUGCUAGGCAACUGGUCUGAGGAUCCACAGCCACUAAGGGGGAAAAGCUGGGUUUGCUGCUGGCAGGUCUCUUCCUCUGAGACUGAGCUCCUCUCAUGAAGGGAUGAGUGCCAUUCUAUUCUGUGCAAAAUUUCCCUGACUUCUUAGCUUAUUUGAUCUGGAGAGACACGGUUGGGGGGGUAUGCUGACUAGAUGAUAACUGGGUGUUGGGGUGACAAUGAAAAUUAGAUACCAAUAUAUACAAGACUUUUGAAUACGUUAACGGAAACAUUUUAUUUAAUUAUUUUAAUGAAUUUAUUUUUAAGACUGGGUCUUGCUAUGUUGUUCAGGCUGCCCUCAAACUCCUGGGCUCAAGCAAUCCUCCUGCCUCAGCCUCCUGAGUAGCUGGGACUACAGGUGCAUGCCACUGCACUUGGUUCAAGGGAGACCUUUUAAAUCAUCAUAGAAAUAAAGAUGUUGGGCAAACUGAUCAACUAUUUGGAAAAAAAUUUACAUCUGACACCAUAUAUUGAAUAUAUGUUGCCAAAUGUAAAAUAACAAAAUCAAAACUUAUGUGAGUUGAUUUGUCUUAUCUUAGGAAGAGCAAAGAAUUUUAAGCAUGAAUGCAAUGGCAGAAAC
rnacentral:lncRNA from 10 species